rnacentral:tRNA from 1 species
GGGGCCUUAGCUCAGCCGGGAGAGCGCCUGCUUUGCACGCAGGAGGUCAGCGGUUCGAUCCCUGCUAGGCUCCA